AAGUCGUAACAAGGUUUCCGUAGGUGAACCUGCGGAAGGAUCAUUAAAAAUUUUUUUCAUCUAAUGAUGAAUAAAAAAUUAACCUUGUGUGCAAACAUUGCUUUGAAAGGAAGAAGGUGAAUACCUUCAUCCUAAAAACAAAAACACAUCAUCAAACUUUUAUGUAAAAACAAAAUAUAUUUAUAAUAAAAUACAACUUUCAACAACGGAUCUCUUGGCUCUC
rnacentral:misc_RNA from 1 species